rnacentral:rRNA from 1 species
GCGUUGUCCGGAAUUAUUGGGCGUAAAGAGCUCGUAGGCGGUCCAUCGCGUCGGGAGUGAAAAGCUGGGGCUUAACCCCAGUCCUGCUUCCGAUACGGGUGGACUAGAGGUAGGUAGGGGAGAUCGGAAUUCCUAGUGUAGCGGUGAAAUGCGCAGAGAUCAGGAGGAACACCGGUGGUGAAGGCGGAUCUCUGGCCCUUUCCUGACGCUGAGGAGCGAAAGCAUG